UGAACGCUGGCGGCAUGCCUUACACAUGCCCGUCGAACGGCAGCACGGGUGCUUGCACCUGGUGGCGAGUGGCGAACGGGUGAGUAAUACAUCGGAACAUGUCCUGUAGUGGGGGAUAGCCCGGCGAAAGCCGGAUUAAUACCGCAUACGAUCUACGGAUGAAAGCGGGGGACCUUCGGGCCUCGCGCUAUAGGGUUGGCCGAUGGCUGAUUAGCUAGUUGGUGGGGUAAAGGCCUACCAAGGCGACGAUCAGUAGCUGGUCUGAGAGGACGACCAGCCACACUGGGACUGAGACACGGCCCAGACUCCUACGGGAGGCAGCAGUGGGGAAUUUUGGACAAUGGGCGAAAGCCUGAUCCAGCAAUGCCGCGUGUGUGAAGAAGGCCUUCGGGUUGUAAAGCACUUUUGUCCGGAAAGAAAUCCUUGGCCCUAAUACGGUCGGGGGAUGACGGUACCGGAAGAAUAAGCACCGGCUAACUACGUG
rnacentral:rRNA from 1 species